AAACACCCGCUCUGACCUCUUCAAACAGCCCAAUCACUUCCACAAGGUUACACAGCUAACAAGAAGCUGGGCUGUGAUUUUAACGCGAACUGAUGAAGCUCUAACCCAGCACCCUUGACCAUGAGGCUACGUGAUACACCUUGAAUCUCUGAGCUCUGAGUCUAUUCUGGGGCAGAAAUGCAAGACUUGCAUUUUACAUGUUGCUGUGAUGACUUAGUGAAGACCGGCCGGCGUCCAAGACUGCAGCAAGGCCUCCGGUUUAUGUCUUGGAGAAGCAAGGAGUGAUCACAGCCUGGAGCUCAGGGUCACCGGACACUAACCCCCUCAGCUAAACUGGGGAGAACACUCUGAUGUCACAGGUUAUCUCUUCCAGAGAUUCAUCUGCAUCACCCAGAGAAACGUGGAGAAUGGAGGGAAUCUUCUAGAUUUACUUGAUCAGAAGAGAAGAUGUCUGGGUCCCCAUGACACCAAUGGUACUCACAGCCCCAACACGGCUGACUGCCCCAGAGAGGAUUUUGCCUCAGAAAGAUGUUCUCAAGUGUCAGCUUCUCCUACACGAAAGGCCAGGUUUCUUCACCCAACCUGGGUCUCCAGCACUGCCUCCUGCAUCCAAGUCAGGUGUGCUCUUCUGGAUCCUUCUCUGACCUAUCAUUUUGACAUGGAUUAUUAGAAGUAAAGAAAGCCAUGGCACCUGUGAACCAGAAGGCACAAUUAGACUCAGUAGCGGUCACAAUCUGCAAACGUUCAGGUUCUUACGGAAUCAUUAUUGAGUCGAGCUGGAGCAUCAAGCUUGAACAAGUAUAGUCUUUGAGAAAAACAAACACGCUACAGAAAAGCCAUCUGCAAUCAUGAAAUACCGAGGGGAGAUGAAGGAUUCUGAAACAUACUUGGGAAAUAAAUGGGCAGCCCGUGGUCCUCCAGAAAUAAUGCCAGAUGAUGAGGCUGAUGUGAAGGAGUAUGGAAAUCUCAAAAGCCCUUGAACAACAGGAAAAAAAGCACACGUCAAAUAGCACGUCACAGUGGAAAUUGCUACUAGAAAAAAAAGAAGCAUUAUGAGCAAGGAUAGACCAUUAGAAGAUCUAUUGUUAUGAUGGAGAACUUGCUUGUAGAGGAAGCGAGCAGAAUACAGAUGUAAAUAUGUAUGAGGAAAUAAACCACAUUAAACCGGAAUACAGUGCAAUUUUAGUUCCACUAAAGAACAUAGUAUACGAUACACCUGGAAGGAAAUAAUAUACCUUCAUCCCGAAUCCUGAUGCUUUUCUUUUUCUUUUUUUUUCUUUUUUUCUUUUUCUUUUUUUAAGAUUUUAUUUAUCUUUUCAUGAGAGACACAGAGAGAGAGGCAGAGACACAAGCAGGCUCCAUGCAGGGAGCCCGAUGCGGGAUUCGAUCCUAGGACCCCGGGAUCGCGCCCUGAGCCAAGGCAGACACUCAACCGCUGAGCCACCAGGUGCCCACAUCCUGAUGCUUUAUAAGUAGCUUCUCUGGCCUUGGGAAAGCAUCUGUUCUUGCUCGUGCACGGCAGCCACGCAUGUCACUGACAGGUGCGGUCCUUUAGGUUAAACUGAAGUCACCAAUGUGCGUUGGGUUUUGUGACCUCUCAGUGAAGUGUCAUGACACUUCUCAAAGGACAAUAGACCGUAGUUGAAAGAUAGCUAAGUAUGAACCCCCCAUUGAUGUUCAGUUUUGCUCUUUCACCAGCGUAUAGGACUUUGGACAACUAAAUCUAAACUUUUUCACCAUCUCCGCUUCCCAUAUGACAUCUGUGCACUCAUCAUUCCUUCAGCGGGCUGCCCUAGGAAGGCACUAGACCGCCCCUCCUGCCGUCCCCAGAACUGCUAAGUCUUAGCCCUGUCUUUUUCCUGCAAGUCCUGAAGUUUCCGGCAAACCUUGAACUCAGCGAUGUCCUCAUGGGGUUCCAUGAUCAAGGAAAUGGGACCCCACCAAUGAGCAUGUGAAGCAAAUCGGUUCAUGAUGCAGCAACGGAGCUAAGGAGUGGUGGGGUCCCUUUCCCAUCAGGUGCCUUCGGGGAACAUGCACAGCUCAGAAAGCUCUAGCUCUGGGGGGCUGAUGGCAGUGGCCGCUACCGCUGGUCAUCAGACAGAAGCUGAGUGGGAGCGAAGCCCCCAGCACACAUUAAGCACUGGCCAGUGCCAGG
rnacentral:lncRNA from 1 species